UACGUGUUAGUACACUACAUUUUUCUUUUCAUUCAAGUACACAAACUAAUGGUAACAGUUACAACUAAAAGAUACAUAUUUAAUAAACUUUAUGCUACAUCUUGAAUGUGUGUGUAUCUAGAACAUAAGGCUUGAAAAUGUUAAAUGGUCCGUUAAAAGGUUUUACUGACCUCAGUGGCAUUUCUUUUGUACCAGAGUAAAAGAGAGUUGAUUCUACAGUCAUUAUACUUUAAAAAAUGUUUGGGUAGUUUUUAAUUAUUCAAAUAUUAUGAAAGAAGUUAGGGUAUUAGCACAUGAAUGUAAUGACUUGCACAAUACUUACAGCUCAUUAUUAUUCAUCAGUGUUAUCAAAAACAAGUUCGUUGGAUUUUUAUUGCAGUUUAAAAAAAAAACGAACAGAAGAAUGUUUAAACUUUUCAACAUGUCUUGGUUAGAAGAUGAAGCUUAAGCUCAAGUAUGUGCUACACGGGAAAUAUAACUUGAGGAAAUUGGCUUCAGACAGUUGUCUGAGUUAAAUCCAGAGAGAAAACAGGAACUCUACUGGGGUGUGGUAGUUCUGAGAAAA